GGUGAAGCAGAGCUUGCUCUGUGGAUCAGUGGCGAACGGGUGAGUAACACGUGAGCAACCUGCCCCUGACUCUGGGAUAAGCGCUGGAAACGGCGUCUAAUACUGGAUAUGUGACGUGGCCGCAUGGUCUGCGUCUGGAAAGAAUUUCGGUUGGGGAUGGGCUCGCGGCCUAUCAGCUUGUUGGUGAGGUAAUGGCUCACCAAGGCGUCGACGGGUAGCCGGCCUGAGAGGGUGACCGGCCACACUGGGACUGAGACACGGCCCAGACUCCUACGGGAGGCAGCAGUGGGGAAUAUUGCACAAUGGGCGCAAGCCUGAUGCAGCAACGCCGCGUGAGGGAUGACGGCCUUCGGGUUGUAAACCUCUUUUAGCAGGGAAGAAGCGAAAGUGACGGUACCUGCAGAAAAAGCGCCGGCUAACUACGUGCCAGCAGCCGCGGUAAUACGUAGGGCGCAAGCGUUAUCCGGAAUUAUUGGGCGUAAAGAGCUCGUAGGCGGUUUGUCGCGUCUGCUGUGAAAUCCGGAGGCUCAACCUCCGGCCUGCAGUGGGUACGGGCAGACUAGAGUGCGGUAGGGGAGAUUGGAAUUCCUGGUGUAGCGGUGGAAUGCGCAGAUAUCAGGAGGAACACCGAUGGCGAAGGCAGAUCUCUGGGCCGUAACUGACGCUGAGGAGCGAAAGGGUGGGGAGCAAACAGGCUUAGAUACCCUGGUAGUCCACCCCGUAAACGUUGGG
rnacentral:rRNA from 1 species